GAUGAACGCUGGCGGCGUGCUUAACACAUGCAAGUCGAACGGAAAGGCCCAAGCUUGCUUGGGUACUCGAGUGGCGAACGGGUGAGUAACACGUGGGUGAUCUGCCCUGCACUUCGGGAUAAGCCUGGGAAACUGGGUCUAAUACCGGGUAGGACCACUUUAUGGAUGGGGUUGUGGAGAGUUUGUCGGUGUGGGGUGAGCUCGCGGCCUAUCAGCUUGUUGGUGGGGUAAUGGCCUACCAAGGCGUCGACGGGUAGCCGGCCUGAGAGGGUGUGCGGCGGCACUGAGUCUGAGAGGCGGCCCAGACUCCUAAGGGAGGCAGCAGGGGGGAAUAUUGCACAAGGGGCGCAAGCCGGAUGCUGCGACGCCGCGUGGGGGAUGACGGCCUUCGGGUUGUAAACCCCUUUUGCUAGGGACUAAGCACGAUGUGACGGUACCUAGAGAAGAAGCACCGGCUAACUACGUG
rnacentral:rRNA from 1 species